UGCUAAGACAUAGAUGAAUUUAGGCAGAUCGAGAAGUUCGUAAAACAAGCCGAGAUCAAAUCCGGAUAAUCGUAACAUAAAUCUCGAAACAAAAAGAUAUGUAAAAAUCUAUAUGAUUCUUUAUUAGUUCAUCAUUUUCAAUAAUGGUAUCAGUGCCGUGCUUAUUUUUUUAUUUUCACACUGUGAUCCUUUUUUUUAUAUAUAAUUGAAUAUUUCUUUUAAAUUGUUUUUUUUUUAGAGAGAGAUAGGUAGCAUGCUACCCGCUUCAUUUAUUUCAUUUAAAAAUAAACUUAGCUAGAAAUGUGAAUUAGCUAGAAUUCGAACAUGAGAUCUCGGGUACCAACCAUCAAGGCCUUUGCCACUUGCGCUAGGGACAGUCUUAAUCGGACAAUAUGCUGGGCAUUAAUUUGUAAAGCUGUCUAAAAUACCCUAUAUCUCAUAGCCUAUCCAGACCCUAUCUAGACCCACCCGGAUCCGAAGUGGACCUGAUAAAAAAUAGAUAGUAUACGAAUUUUAUAUAAAAAAAAAACUACUUAUUAAAGUUUCAGAUAUGGUUCCGGAUACUUUAUACCAAUACCAUUAAUAUAUGUAUUUUCAUCUUUGUGAAAUCCUAACUACUUUGUUUACUCCUUUCUUUAUUUUUUUUAUUUCUUUUUUUUUUUACACAU
rnacentral:lncRNA from 1 species